AUUGAACGCUGGCGGCAUGCCUUACACAUGCAAGUCGAACGGCAGCACGGGUGCUUGCACCUGGUGGCGAGUGGCGAACGGGUGAGUAAUACAUCGGAACAUGUCCUGUAGUGGGGGAUAGCCCGGCGAAAGCCGGAUUAAUACCGCAUACGAUCUACGGAUGAAAGCGGGGGACCUUCGGGCCUCGCGCUAUAGGGUUGGCCGAUGGCUGAUUAGCUAGUUGGUGGGGUAAAGGCCUACCAAGGCGACGAUCAGUAGCUGGUCUGAGAGGACGACCAGCCACACUGGGACUGAGACACGGCCCAGACUCCUACGGGAGGCAGCAGUGGGGAAUUUUGGACAAUGGGCGAAAGCCUGAUACAGCAAUGCCGCGUGUGUGAAGAAGGCCUUCGGGUUGUAAAGCACUUUUGUCCGGAAAGAAAUCCUUGGCCCUAAUACGGUCGGGGGAUGACGGUACCGGAAGAAUAAGCACCGGCUAACUACGUG
rnacentral:rRNA from 1 species